rnacentral:tRNA from 1 species
UUCCCUGUAGCUCAGAUGGUAAAGAAUCUGCUUGCAGUGCAGGAGACCCAGGUUUGAUCCCUGGCUCAGGAA